rnacentral:rRNA from 1 species
UACGUAGGGUGCGAGCGUUAAUCGGAAUUACUGGGCGUAAAGCGCACGUAGGCGGCUUUGUAAGUUAGAGGUGAAAGCCCGGGGCUCAACCCGGAAUUGCCUUUAAGACUGCAUCGCUAGAAUUGUGGAGAGGUAAGUGGAAUUCCGAGUGUAGAGGUGAAAUUCGUAGAUAUUCGGAAGAACACCAGUGGCGAAGGCGACUUACUGGACACAUAUUGACGCUGAGGUGCGAAAGCGUGGGGAGCAAACAGG